CUACGGGGUGCACCAGUGGGGAAUAUUGCACAAUGGAGGAAACUCUGAUGCAGCAACGCCGCGUGGAGGAUGACACUUUUCGGAGCGUAAACUCCUUUUAUAUAGGAAGAAGAUGACGGUACUAUAUGAAUAAGCGCCGGCUAACUCUGUGCCAGCAGCCGCGGUAAUACGGAGGGCGCAAGCGUUACUCGGAAUCACUGGGCGUAAAGAGCGUGUAGGCGGAUUAAAAAGUCAGAAGUGAAAUCCUAUAGCUUAACUAUAGAACUGCUUCUGAAACUCUUAAUCUAGAAUAUGGGAGAGGUAGAUGGAAUUUCUGGUGUAGGGGUAAAAUCCGUAGAGAUCAGAAGGAAUACCGAUUGCGAAGGCGAUCUACUAGAACAUUAUUGACGCUGAGACGCGAAAGCGUGGGGAGCAAACAGGAUUAGAUACCCGCGUAGUC
rnacentral:rRNA from 1 species